rnacentral:rRNA from 1 species
GACGAACGCUGGCGGCGUGCUUAACACAUGCAAGUCGAACGGAAAGGCCCUGCUUUUGUGGGGUGCUCGAGUGGCGAACGGGUGAGUAACACGUGAGUAACCUGCCCUUGACUUUGGGAUAACUUCAGGAAACUGGGGCUAAUACCGGAUAGGAGCUCCUGCUGCAUGGUGGGGGUUGGAAAGUUUCGGCGGUUGGGGAUGGACUCGCGGCUUAUCAGCUUGUUGGUGGGGUAGUGGCUUACCAAGGCUUUGACGGGUAGCCGGCCUGAGAGGGUGACCGGCCACAUUGGGACUGAAAUACGGCCCAGACUCCUACGGGAGGCAGCAGUGGGGAAUAGUGCACAAUGGGCGGAAGCCUGAUGCAGCAACGCCGCGUGCGGGAUGACGGCCUUCGGGUUGUAAACCGCUUUCGCCUGUGACGAAGCGUGAGUGACGGUAAUGGGUAAAGAAGCACCGGCUAACUACGUG